rnacentral:rRNA from 1 species
AAAGCCCCCUUCGGGGGGCAAGUAGAGUGGCGCACGGGUGAGUAACACGUAGGUAAUCUACCUUUGGAUGGGGAAUAACAACCGGAAACGGUUGCUAAUACCGCAUAAUGCAGCGGCACCUAAUGGUGACAGUUGUUAAAGCGGGGGAUCGCAAGACCUCGCGUCUGAAGAGGAGCCUGCGGCGGAUUAGCUAGUUGGUAAGGUAACGGCUUACCAAGGCUAUGAUCCGUAGCCGGCCUGAGAGGGCGGUCGGCCACACUGACACUGACAUACGGGUCAGACUCCUACGGGAGGCAGCAGUCGGGAAUUUUGGGCAAUGGGCGCAAGCCUGACCCAGCAACGCCGCGUGAAGGAUGAAAUCCUUCGGGAUGUAAACUUCGCAAGAACAGGAAGAAUAAGUAAGAGUUAAUAUCUCUUACGAUGACGGUACUGUUUGUAAGCUCCGGCUAACUCCGUGCCAGCAGCCGCGGUAAUACGGGGGGAGCAAGCGUUGUUCGGAUUUACUGGGCGUAAAGGGCGCGUAGGCGGCCACCGCAAGUCGACUGUGAAAUCUCCGGGCUUAACCCGGAAAGGUCAGCCGAUACUGCGGGGCUAGAGUGCAGAAGGGGCAACUGGAAUUCUCGGUGUAGCGGUGAAAUGCGUAGAUAUCGAGAGGAACACCUGCGGCGAAGGCGGGUUGCUGGGCUGACACUGACGCUGAUGCGCGAAAGCUAGGGGAGCGAACGGGAUUAGAUACCCCGGUAGUCCUAGCCUUAAACGAUGAAUGCUUGGUGUCUGGGGUUUUAUAGUCCCCCGGGUGCCGUCGCUAACGCUUUAAGCA